UAACGGUCCUAAGGUAGCGAAAUUCCUUGUCGGGUAAGUUCCGACCUGCACGAAUGGCGUAAUGAUGGCCAGGCUGUCUCCACCCGAGACUCAGUGAAAUUGAACUCGCUGUGAAGAUGCAGUGUACCCGCGGCAAGACGGAAAGACCCCGUGAACCUUUACUAUAGCUUGACACUGAACAUUGAGCCUUGAUGUGUAGGAUAGGUGGGAGGCUUUGAAGUGUGGACGCCAGUCUGCAUGGAGCCGACCUUGAAAUACCACCCUUUAAUGUUUGAUGUUCUAACGUGGGCCCCUUACCGGGGUUGCGGACAGUGUCUGGUGGGUAGUUUGACUGGGGCGGUCUCCUCCUAAAGAGUAACGGAGGAGCACGAAGGUUGGCUAAUCCUGGUCGGACAUCAGGAGGUUAGUGCAAUGGCAUAAGCCAGCUUGACUGCGAGCGUGACGGCGCGAGCAGGUGCGAAAGCAGGUCAUAGUGAUCCGGUGGUUCUGAAUGGAAGGGCCAUCGCUCAACGGAUAAAAGGUACUCCGGGGAUAACAGGCUGAUACCGCCCAAGAGUUCAUAUCGACGGCGGUGUUUGGCACCUCGAUGUCGGCUCAUCACAUCCUGGGGCUGAAGUAGGUCCCAAGGGUAUGGCUGUUCGCCAUUUAAAGUGGUACGCGAGCUGGGUUUAGAACGUCGUGAGACAGUUCGGUCCCUAUCUGCCGUGGGCGCUGGAGAACUGAGGGGGGCUGCUCCUAGUACGAGAGGACCGGAGUGGACGCAUCACUGGUGUUCGGGUUGUCAUGCCAAUGGCACUGCCCGGUAGCUAAAUGCGGAAGAGAUAAGUGCUGAAAGCAUCUAAGCACGAAACUUGCCCCGAGAUGAGUUCUCCCUGACUCCUUGAGAGUCCUGAAGGAACGUUGAAGACGACGACGUUGAUAGGCCGGGUGUGUAAGCGCAGCGAUGCGUUGAGCUAACCGGUACUAAUGAACCGUGAGGCUUAACCUU
rnacentral:rRNA from 1 species